GACGAACGCUGGCGGCGUGCUUAACACAUGCAAGUCGAGCGGUGAACCCUUCGGGGGGAUCAGCGGCGAACGGGUGAGUAACACGUGAGCAACCUGCCCCUGACUCUGGGAUAGCCUCGGGAAACCGGGAUUAAUACCGGAUAUGACAUCGCCUCGCAUGGGGUGGUGUGGAAAGUUUUUCGGUCAGGGAUGGGCUCGCGGCCUAUCAGCUUGUUGGUGGGGUGAUGGCCUACCAAGGCGACGACGGGUAGCCGGCCUGAGAGGGUGACCGGCCACACUGGGACUGAGACACGGCCCAGACUCCUACGGGAGGCAGCAGUGGGGAAUAUUGCGCAAUGGGCGAAAGCCUGACGCAGCGACGCCGCGUGAGGGAUGAAGGCCUUCGGGUUGUAAACCUCUUUCAGCAGGGAAGAAGCGCAAGUGACGGUACCUGCAGAAGAAGCACCGGCUAACUACGUGCCAGCAGCCGCGGUAAUACGUAGGGUGCAAGCGUUGUCCGGAAUUAUUGGGCGUAAAGAGCUCGUAGGCGGUUUGUCGCGUCUGCUGUGAAAACGCGGGGCUCAACUCCGCGCCUGCAGUGGGUACGGGCAGACUAGAGUGCAGUAGGGGAGACUGGAAUUCCUGGUGUAGCGGUGGAAUGCGCAGAUAUCAGGAGGAACACCGGUGGCGAAGGCGGGUCUCUGGGCUGUAACUGACGCUGAGGAGCGAAAGCGUGGGUAGCGAACAGGAUUAGAUACCCUGGUAGUCCACGCCGUAAACGUUGGGCGCUAGGUGUGGGGCUCAUUCCACGAGUUCCGUGCCGCAGCAAACGCAUUAAGCGCCCCGCCUGGGGAGUACGGCCGCAAGGCUAAAACUCAAAGGAAUUGACGGGGCCCCGCACAAGCGGCGGAGCAUGCGGAUUAAUUCGAUGCAACGCGAAGAACCUUACCAAGGCUUGACAUGCAGGGUAAUCCGGCAGAGAUGUCGGGUCCGCAAGGGAUCCUGCACAGGUGGUGCAUGGUUGUCGUCAGCUCGUGUCGUGAGAUGUUGGGUUAAGUCCCGCAACGAGCGCAACCCUCGUCCUAUGUUGCCAGCACGUGAUGGUGGGGACUCAUAGGAGACUGCCGGGGUCAACUCGGAGGAAGGUGGGGAUGACGUCAAAUCAUCAUGCCCCUUAUGUCUUGGGCUUCACGCAUGCUACAAUGGCCAGUACAAAGGGCUGCGAGACCGUGAGGUGGAGCGAAUCCCAAAAAGCUGGUCUCAGUUCGGAUCGGGGUCUGCAACUCGACCCCGUGAAGUCGGAGUCGCUAGUAAUCGCAGAUCAGCAACGCUGCGGUGAAUACGUUCCCGGG
rnacentral:rRNA from 1 species